rnacentral:rRNA from 1 species
CGUAGGCCGUUGAGUUAGUUAAUUGUGAAAUCCCAAAGCUUAACUUUGGAACUGCAAUUAAAACUGCUCGACUAGAGUUUGAUAGAGGAAAGCGGAAUACAUAGUGUAGAGGUGAAAUUCGUAGAUAUUAUGUAGAACACCAGUUGCGAAGGCGGCUUUCUGGAUCAACACUGACGCUGAGGCGCGAAAGUAUGGGUAGCAAAGAGGAUUAGAUACCCUCGUAGUCCAUACCAUAAACGAUGAUUGCUAGAUGUUGGAAAUUUAUUUUCAGUAUCGCAGCUAACGCAUUAAGCAAUCCGCCUGGGGAGUACGACCGCAAGGUUAAAACUCAAAUGAAUUGACGGGGACCCGCACAAGCGGUGGAGCAUGUGGUUUAAUUCGAAGAUACGCGCAGAACCUUACCAACCCUUGACAUGUCUGUCGCGAGUUUAGGAAACUAGACUUUUCGGUUCGGCCGGACAGAACACAGGCGCUGCAUGGCUGUCGUCAGCUCGUGUCGUGAGAUGUUGGGUUAAGUCCCGCAACGAGCGCAACCCCUACUUUUAGUUGCCAUCAGGUAAUGCUGGGCACUCUGAAAGAACUGCCAGUGAUAAGCUGGAGGAAGGUGGGGAUGACGUCAAGUCCUCAUGGCCCUUACGGGUUGGGCUACACACGUGCUACAAUGGUAGUGACAAUGAGAUGCAAAGUGGCGACGCUAAGCUAAACUCAAAAAUCUACCUCAGUUCGGAUUGCACUCUGCAACUCGAGUGCAUGAAGCUGGAAU